UAAAUAAAAUAAUUCCAAUGAAAUAAUUCAUUUCUAUCUUUUUUAGUUCUGAGCAAACUAACCAAAAAAUAUUUAGCAGUUCAGAAGUUUAGGCCAUGCAUUGACAGGCCAGUCAAGACCAUGACCAUGGACAAGGCUCCUUCAUUAGUAUAAGCCAUAAACUUAAGUGUUCAAGUUCAAAGCAGUAAACAGUAAGUACAAAAUCAACAUGUUUAUAUAAACCAUUACAGAAAUAAUUUUUAAUCCACAUUUGGAACUUCUUUAAAAAGUGUUCUCAUGGAACAGAUAUUUUAGGAUAUGUAUAAUAAAAGUUCCAUGAAAAUAAGUUUUUUAGAACGUGUACUAAAAAAGAUUCUAUAAGAUAAAUCAAAGUACAAAAACUAUUAGCUAUAUAUUUAAAAAUCAUCAAAAUUGGUGAGAGCAUAGUUAAUUACAAGUCCGCCUUUUCUCAUUAUGUACGUGCCACAACAAAGUAAUUAAACAGAUUUACCAAAGUUAAUAAAUGUU